CACUAGCGUAUAUUAAAGUUGUUGCAGUUAAAAAGCUCGUAGUUGGAUUUCUGACAUGGUGCGCCUGGUCCGCCCCGUAAAGGUGUGUGAGUACCGGCGUGCGCCUGUCAUCCUUCCGCAGAGCGUGUCUACCCUUCACUGGGCCGGGCAUCGCGAUGUGGAUCGUUUACUUUGAAAAAAUUAGAGUGUUCAAAGCAGGCUUACGCUGUGAAUACAUUAGCAUGGAAUAAUAAGAUAGGGCUUUGGUUCUAUUUUGUUGGUUUCUAGGACUGAAGUAAUGAUUGAUAGGGAUAGUUGGGGGUGCUAGUAUUCAACGGCCAGAGGUGAAAUUCUUGGAUUCGUUGAAGACUAACUUAUGCGAAAGCAUUCACCAAGGAUGUCUUCGUUAA
rnacentral:rRNA from 1 species